GACAGAGGGUGCGAACGUUGCUCGGAAUUACUGGGCGUAAAGCGCGCGUAGGUGGAGCGUUAAGUCCGGUCUGAAAGCCCCCGGCUCAACCGGGGAGGGUGGCUGGAAACUGGCGUUCUUGAGGGCGAGAGAGGAGGGUGGAAUUCCUGGUGUAGCGGUGAAAUGCGUAGAGAUCAGGAGGAACACCAAUGGCGAAGGCAGCUCGCUGGAACGGUACUGACGCUGAGGCGCGAAAGCGUGGGGAGCAAACGGG
rnacentral:rRNA from 1 species